GGGAGAGGUCUGCUUUAAAUGACAUAAUCUAUGGCCCACCCCUUCAAGGACUCUGUUUCUGUCAGUGGCAAUGAGGGUGUCAUGAUAGCCUCUGUUAUGAACAAGGAGACCUGCUAUGACCAAAGACAUCACAAUCGUAGACAUCAAUUUGUGAAGAAGCAAAACUGGGGAUGAGGGGGUCAACAAAGUUCUGUAUAACCCAUUUAUUCAGACAUGCAAUAUUUGUUCACCUCUUCUACAGACUUUUCUGGGUUGCAUGCUAAAGAAGAUUCAAGGUGAGGAAGAUAUAAUUCCAAUUUCUAAGUAAUCAGUUGGAUUGAACUUAAAUAAAAGGAUCAGCCUCAAAUAAUAA